GCGCUGGAAAACUGGAUUGCCUACUCCCUGCUCGAUCGUGCUACUGACGAUAACUCGAUGUUCCCGACCUUGGUGAUAGCGUAGGUGGGCCACGAUGUCAUCGAUGGAGUGUUGCCGCUGAUACUCUCUGCAUAACGUAACGCGGUGUCAUUCGGGUCCUAUUGAACUUUUGGACGGCCUCUGAUCCAUUGGUAGUUGCCGACUCUCAAGAUGCCAUUGAUUGGUGUCAUUUGGGUCGCAAUGGAUCGAGACCGUCAAAAGUUCAUUGGAAUCCGAAUCACACCGCGUCAAUGGGCAGCGAGCAUCAGCCACAGCCCUCAAACGACAACACCGUGGCCCACCCACAAUCGUGAAGUGCGGAAACAAUGAGUUAUCAUCAGUAUGGAGCGCAGCACACAGAUCUUCCAGUGCCAGUGCACCGUGGCAGGGUCAUCUCGGGCAGGCUCGUCAAGGGACUAGCAUCAGCCCUUUCCCCGAAGAAGGCAGCCACCCAACCAUCACAAUAGGAAGCACUGACAAUGAUUAGUCUGGCCAAUUUGUUUUCCUUGUCAGUGUUCUUCUUUUGCUUUUCUUCGAUCUUCUCGUUCAGGAGAUUUUCUUCGACCCUCUCGGGGUAUUUAAAUAAAUUCUGUCUCUGUUCUCUGUUGAGUUGAACGAGUGGAAUAAAUUCUGCAUCAGAUUUCUGAUGAGUUGAUACUUACAUUAUUUUUGAAUGUCUUUGUUCAAUCGUGCAAGACUUAUAAUCGAACUGUUUAGCCUUAUCGGUUCAACAUCCAAUUGUCGGCAACGAUUAUAGUCAAACCGCGUCUGCUACCUGGAUAGUUUAUGAUAAAGGCAGAAAGGCAGUUUCGAAAUAUCGGAAUUGCGCUGUGCACUAUGGUGUCGAAUUUACAAACGGAGAUGCACAUGGCCACUGGUUCCCGGUGUGAAGAAGAGGCGGGUAAAGCAGCAGCAAUUGUCUACUCUCUCUAUGAAAGUGAGAUUGCAGGUCGAGUUUGAGACCAUGACAGGAACGAUUCCUUGGGAUGAGGCAAUAUACCUGUGUGCUAUGAAAGCGUCGAGGCUUUCCCGAAGGCAGGGCCACUGUCCGUAUCACACAUAGAGGUUCAUCCUAAACUCUGCUAAUUUGAAAAGGGAGUCAUGAUGUGUCAAUGCAGAUGAGCAACCUGAUUUAACACCAAAGGUGCCGAUGACCGUCUAACUCAGCUCAAGGAAGACAAGAUUAAAUUCGUCACCAAACUCCUCAGAUGGUGAGCCUGUUGAAGAUUUAGAAGAGGCAGUAGAUAAUUAUCCUACCGAUGGUGGCUUAAUGACCCGAAGACAGACACAGAAAAUGGUGGCAUUUUUAUCUGUGAAAUAUCUUUUUGCUUCUCUUCAUUGAAUCCGCUUGUGUGGUUAUUUUUGAAUUUGCCGAAGUGAUCGUAUAAUUAUUCAGUGAUUCACAUAUUUUACUCGA